GACGAACGCUGGCGGCGUGCUUAACACAUGCAAGUCGAACGGAAAGGCCCUGCUUUCAUGGUGCUCUCGUGUCGAACGGGUGAGUAACACGUGGGUGUUCUGCCCCUUACUUUGUGGUAAGCCUUGGAAACUGUGUCUAAUACUGGAUAUGACCAUUUUUUCUGCGGUGUGGUGGAUAGAUUAGUUUCGGUAAGGGAUGAGCUCUCGGCCUAUCAGCUUGUUGGUGGGGUAAUGUCCUAUCAAGGCGUCGUCGGGUAGCCGGCCUGAGAGGGUGGACGGCGACAUUGGGACGAAGAUGAGGCGCAGAAUACUACGAGGGGAAGCAGUGGUGAGUAUUGUAGAAUGAGGGGAAGCAUGAUGAAGCGACGACGCGUGGGGGAUGACGACCGUCGGGGUGUUAUAACCUGUCAGCGACGACGAAGAACCUGGGGUGACGGUAGUGGGAGAAGAAGCACCGGCUAACUACGUG
rnacentral:rRNA from 1 species